rnacentral:rRNA from 1 species
GACGAACGCUGGCGGCGUGCUUAACACAUGCCAGUCGAACGGAAAGGCCCUGCUUGCAGGGUACUCGAGUGGCGAACGGGUGAGUAACACGUGGGUGAUCUGCCCUGCACUUCGGGAUAAGCCUGGGAAACUGGGUCUAAUACCGGAUAGGAGCCAUUUUUAGUGUGAUGGUUGGAAAGUUUUUUCGGUGUAGGAUGAGCUCGCGGCCUAUCAGCUUGUUGGUGGGGUAAUGGCCUACCAAGGCGGCGACGGGUAGCCGGCCUGAGAGGGUGGACGGCCACAUUGGGACUGAGAUACGGCCCAGACUCCUACGGGAGGCAGCAGUGGGGAAUAUUGCGCAAUGGGCGCAAGCCUGAUGCAGCGACGCCGCGUGGGGGAUGACGGCCUUCGGGUUGUAAACUCCUUUCGCUAGGGACGAAGCUUUUUGUGACGGUACCUAGAUAAGAAGCACCGGCUAACUACGUG